rnacentral:rRNA from 1 species
ACGGGUGAGUAAUGCCUAGGAAUCUGCCUGGUAGUGGGGGAUAACGUUCGGAAACGGACGCUAAUACCGCAUACGUCCUACGGGAGAAAGCAGGGGACCUUCGGGCCUUGCGCUAUCAGAUGAGCCUAGGUCGGAUUAGCUAGUUGGUGAGGUAAUGGCUCACCAAGGCGACGAUCCGUAACUGGUCUGAGAGGAUGAUCAGUCACACUGGAACUGAGACACGGUCCAGACUCCUACGGGAGGCAGCAGUGGGGAAUAUUGGACAAUGGGCGAAAGCCUGAUCCAGCCAUGCCGCGUGUGUGAAGAAGGUCUUCGGAUUGUAAAGCACUUUAAGUUGGGAGGAAGGGCAGUUACCUAAUACGUGAUUGUUUUGACGUUACCGACAGAAUAAGCACCGGCUAACUCUGUGCCAGCAGCCGCGGUAAUACAGAGGGUGCAAGCGUUAAUCGGAAUUACUGGGCGUAAAGCGCGCGUAGGUGGUUUGUUAAGUUGGAUGUGAAAUCCCCGGGCUCAACCUGGGAACUGCAUUCAAAACUGACUGACUAGAGUAUGGUAGAGGGUGGUGGAAUUUCCUGUGUAGCGG